rnacentral:misc_RNA from 1 species
AAAAAAUGUUUUAACAAAACAAGCCUCGCGCCGACAUCGUCGUUUGCCCAAAGCGAACGAUGACGAAGCGCAACGUUGGCCCACAUUUUUGUGCACCGUUCCGUCUUUGGUGGUGGGGUGAGCGGCUUCCUUUGGCGGCCCUCGCCUGUCAGCUCGGACCCUGCAACGGGUCCGGAGCCGUGGACAAGCCACCGCCCUUUUCUUCAAAACCUUUGCUUUGCUUUUUUUUUUCUGUCUGACACUUUUAUUUUGUAUGAAUGUACAAA